rnacentral:rRNA from 1 species
CCCCGGGCUCAACCNGGGAACUGCGUUCCGAACUGGGUGACUAGAGUGUNUCAGAGGGAGGUAGAAUUCCACGUGUAGCAGUGAAAUGCGUAGAGAUGUGGAGGAAUACCGAUGGCGAAGGCAGCNUCCUGGGAUAACACUGACGUUCAUGCCCGAAAGCGUGGGUAGCAAACAGGAUUAGAUACCCUGGUAGUCCACGCCCUAAACGAUGUCGAUUAGCUGUUGGGCAGCAUGACUGCUUAGUAGCGAAGCUAACGCGUGAAAUCGACCGCCUGGGGAGUACGGUCGCAAGAUUAAAACUCAAAGGAAUUGACGGGGACCCGCACAAGCGGUGGAUGAUGUGGAUUAAUUCGAUGCAACGCGAAGAACCUUACCUGGUCUUGACAUGUACGGAAUCCUCCAGAGACGGAGGAGUGCCUUCGGGAGCCGUAACACAGGUGCUGCAUGGCUGUCGUCAGCUCGUGUCGUGAGAUGUUGGGUUAAGUCCCGCAACGAGCGCAACCCUUGUCAUUAGUUGCCAUCAUUAAGUUGGGCACUCUAAUGAGACUGCCGGUGACAAGCCGGAGGAAGGUGGGGAUGACGUCAAGUCCUCAUGGCCCUUAUGACCAGGGCUUCACACGUCACACAAUGGUCGGUACAGAGGGUAGCCAAGCCGCGAGGCGGAGCCAAUCUCACAAAACUGAUCGUAGUCCGGAUUGCACUCUGCAACUCGAGUGCAUGAAGUCGGAAUCGCUAGUAAUCGCAGGUCAGCAUACUGCGGUGAAUACGUUCCCGGGUCUUGAACACACCGCCCGUCACACCAUGGGAGUGGGGGAUACCAGAAGUAGGUAGGGUAACCGCAAGGAGCCCGCUU